UGGUCAUUAGCUCAAUUGGCAGAGCGGCGGUCUCCAAAGCCGAAGGCUGCAGGUUCGAAUCCUGCAUGAUCAG
rnacentral:tRNA from 1 species